CGAAGAGACUGUGUGCCCGCAGGUACCUGUGUUUUCCAAUAAACCCUCUUGCUGAUUGCAUCCGAGUGGACUCGGCUCGGUCAUUGGGCACUUGGGACUCCUCCUGAGGGAAAGGUCCUCUCCGGGGGUCUUUCAUUAUGGGGGCUCGCCCCGGGAUUUGGAGACCCUCCGCCCAGAGAUCACCGACCACCCACCGGGAGGUAAGCCGGCCGGCGUUUGUCUUGUCUGUUGUGUCUUGUCCUGUGAACGAUCGAUCAAUAGGCUCAGAUCUGGGGACUAUCUGGGCGGGCCAGAGAAGGAGCUGACGAGCUCGGACUUCUCCCCCGCAGCCCUGGAAGACGUUCCAAGGGUGGUUGGAGGAGAGGGAGAUCCGGAUCCGUGGCACCUCCGUCCGUUUUCGGAGGGAUCCGCACCCUUGAUGACUCCGUCUGAAUUUUAUUGGAGUAGAGGAUCCAAGACCCUCGCUGACUCCGUCUGAAUUUUUGGUUUCAGUUUGGUACCGAAGCCGCGCGG
rnacentral:lncRNA from 1 species